AGUCUGGUGCCAGCAGCGCGGUAAUUCCAGCUCCAAUAGCGUAUAUUAAAGUUGUUGCAGUUAAAAAGCUCGUAGUUGAAUUUCGGGAUUAGUAUGUCGGUCGUACUUCGGUACGUACUGUCAUUACUGGUUUCUCCCUUCUGAAGAACCAUGAUGUCAUUAAUUUGGUGUCUUGGGAAAUCAGGACUGUUACUUUGAAAAAAUUAGAGUGUUUAAAGCAGGC
rnacentral:rRNA from 1 species